rnacentral:lncRNA from 1 species
AGAGUAGAACAGGAUGAGACAGGGAGGAACAGAGAGAGAGAGUAGAACAGGAUGAGACAGGGAGGAACAGAGAGAGUAGAACAGGAUGAGACAGGGAGGAACAGAGAGAGAGUAGAACAGGAUGAGACAGGGAGGAACAGAGAGAGUAGAAUAGGAUGAGACAGGGAGGAACAGAGAGAGAGUAGAACAGGGAGGAACAGAGAGAGUAGAACAGGAUGAGACAGGGAGGAACAGAGAGAGAGUAGAACAGGAUGAGACAGGGAGGAACAGAGAGAGAAUAGAACAGGAUGAGACAGGGAGGAACAGAGAGAGUAGAACAGGAUGAGACAGGGAGGAACAGAGAGAGUAGAACAGGAUGAGACAGGGAGGAACAGAGAGAGUAGAACAGGAUGAGACAGGGAGGAACAGAGAGAGAGUAGAACAGGAUGAGACAGGGAGGAACAGAGAGAGUAGAACAGGAUGAGACAGGGAGGAACAGAGAGAGUAGAACAGGAUGAGACAGGGAGGAACAGAGAGAGAGUAGAACAGGAUGAGACAGGGAGGAACAGAGAGAGUAGAACAGGAUGAGACAGGGAGGAACAGAGAGAGAGUAGAACAGGAUGAGACAGGGAGGAACAGAGAGAGAGUAGAACAGGAUGAGACAGGGAGGAACAGAGAGAGAGUAGAACAGGAUGAGACAGGGAGGAACAGAGAGAGUAGAACAGGAUUAGACAGGGAGGAACAGAGAGAGUAGAACAGGAUGAGACAGGGAGGAACAGAGAGAGUAGAACAGGAUGAGACAGGGAGGAACAGAGAGAGAGUAGAACAGGAUGAGACAGGGAGGAACAGAGAGAGAGUAGAACAGGAUGAGACAGGGAGGAACAGAGAGAGUAGAACAGGAU